rnacentral:tRNA from 1 species
GGCCUCGUAGCUCAGCUGGUAGAGCAUGCGCGUACAAAGNGUCCAUGCGUGGGUUCGAAUCCCACCGAGGCUA